AUGCUACAAACAUUACCACCACCAAAUUCGCUUGAAGAACUAGGCAUACAAAUUUUAUUGGUAAACAUGCCACUCAUGUUGUCACUAGACCAUCUAAGCAACAUUAGAGUGUUGGCGGUAUCCAUAUGUAACCGUGAGUCUGCACAUAACCAGCUUUGGCGAGCAACUCGUCGGCCGCAGCCGGUCCUCGGCUGCCUGGUUUAUAUGGAAGUGGCUUCAGUUCCCCUGCGUCGAUUUUGUGUAGCAAAGGGGUGAAUAUCUCCCAUGCCGCCUUUAAUUCAUCUCUUCGCACAAAAUGUUGCUGGUCACCGCGUAUUGUGUCCAAGAUUAGCCUUUCGUAUGCCUCGGGAAUUGUCACCCCCUGAUACCUUUGCCCAUAGGAUAAAUCUAGUUCGCUUUGAAUGGUUGACAUUUCCAAUCCAGGUUUCUUGACUGUUAGUUUCAUAUACAUGGCCUCUAAAGGUUGCAAGCGUAUAACAAAUUCAUUCCUCCCUUGCUUUUUACAUCUGAAGAUAUCACCAGGAACAUCCUUGAACUGA
rnacentral:misc_RNA from 1 species